ensembl:lncRNA
GGCAUGAGUAGCAGGACGCUGAAAUGUUGCGCGAUUUUUAACAAAAAGCUGCGAAAAUUCGCAGCCUCGGGCUCUGCUCAAGGGCAGAUCGGCCGAUUUUUCACCAAUGUAGGCGACCUUUCGGUUACUGAAUCAGCUAAGUGUCAACCAAUGCCUGAUCAGGUUCUCCACUCUCCUUUCCAGGAGCUGUGUCGCCAGCGGAUGGCUGUGCGGACAUCGGAGCGUCCGGAGCGUGCGGAGUGCCCGGAGCCUCUGCGGCGCCUCUCGCGGCUGAACAGCUCGUCUUCUCAGUUCAGCGACGGGGGACCCAUAGCCAGCCCCUCGGCCCGUAGCUCCACUUCCUCCUGGUGCGAAGAGCCUGUCCCUUCCAACAUGGACAUCUCCACCGGCCACAUGAUACUGUCGUACAUGGAGGACCACUUGAAGAACAAGAACCGCCUGGAGAGGGAGUGGGAGGCGAUGUGUGGUUACCUGGCUGAGCCCGGUGACUGUGACGUGGGCCAGGGCCAACACAACACCAAGAGGAACCGCUCUGACACCGUGGUUGUCUAUGAUCAUUCCAGAAUCACCUUGAAGGCUGAGAAUAACCAUGGCAACUCGGAUUACAUCAAUGCUAGCCCAAUUAUGGACCAUGACCCGAGGAACCCCAUGUACAUCGCUUCACAAGGCCCUCUACCCUCCACCGUGGCUGACUUCUGGCAGAUGGUGUGGGAGAGUGGCUGCGUGGUCAUCGUCAUGCUAACGCCCCUGUCUGAAAAUGGAGUGAAACAGUGUCAACAGUACUGGCCAGACGAGGGCUCCAAUGUCUACCAUGUUUAUGAGGUGAACCUGGUGUCAGAACACAUCUGGUGUGAGGACUUCCUGGUCAGGAGUUUCUACCUGAAGAACUUGCAGACCAACGAGACACGCACUGUCACGCAGUUCCACUUCCUUUCCUGGGUAGACCACAGCAUCCCUGACUCAGCCAGGACACUGCUGGACUUCCGUAGAAAGGUUAACAAGUGCUACCGGGGUCGGUCUUGUCCAAUAAUUGUCCACUGCAGUGACGGGGCUGGCCGAAGCGGAACGUACAUCCUGAUUGACAUGGUCCUCAAUAGGAUGGCUAAAGGUGCUAAAGAGAUUGAUAUUGCCGCUACCCUGGAGCACUUGAGAGACCAAAGAGCCGGCAUGGUCCAGACAAAGGAGCAGUUUGAGCUUGCGCUGACAGCCGUAGCAGAGGAGGUGAAUGCCAUCCUUAAAGCACUUCCACAGUGAAACUCGACGCCGCCCCACACCGUGCCACAUCUCGCUGUCUAAACACAUGUUUUUUCUGCCCACUCAAGUCUGUCAUCUCGCUUUUGUCCCAAAUGGCACCCUAAUCCCUACGCAGUGCGCUACUUUUGAACAGGGCCCAUAAGGGUCUGGUCAAAAGUGGUACACUAUGUAGGGAAUAGGGUGGUGCCAUUUGGGACAUACAUACCUAUCUUCUCUUGUUUCUCUCUCCUCUGAUUCUCGCUCUUGGAAUACUUAUGAAUGUUGUGCCAGAUACUUGACCGACCUGGUCUUCUUAAGUGUGAUGUAUUCUUUUUGCAGUUGUGUUCCAGUGCCACUUACAGAUAGCUAGACAAAGUCACGUGUGUUCUCUCUCUCUCUUUGUGAUCUGAAUAAUCUAUUAUACUAAGAAUCAGAUAAUUGGUUAUUGAUGUGUGAAGAAUAUGAUAUUGUAUUCAAGGCCUGAACAUCUGUGUCCUGUAUAUAGAGAAGAUGCUUCAAAGAACAAUGUCGAAGUGAUCUUUACUAUUAAAGUUCUGAACCACAUUCUAUGGCCCUGUUCAAAUACAUUCGAAAUGUAUCCUUCCUUCCUUGAGAAUCUGUAAGUGAUAUACACUACCGGUCAAACGUUUAGAACACCUACUCAUUCAAGGGGUUUUUCUUUAUUUUUACUAUUUUCUACAUUGUAGAAUUGUAGAAUAACACAUAUGGAAUCAUGUAGUAACCAAAAAAGUGUUAAACAAAUCUAAAUAUAUUUUAUAUUUGAGAUUCUUCAAAGUAGCCAGCCUUUGCCUCGAUGACAGCUUUGCACACUUGUCAUUCUCUCAACCUGCUCCACCUGGAAUGCUUUUCUAACAGUCUUGAAGGAGUUCCCACACAUCCUGAACACUUGUUGGCUGCUUUUCCUUCACUCUGCGCUCCGACUUUUCCCAAAUCAUCUCAAUUUGGUUGAAGUCGGGUGAUUGUGGAGGCCAGGUCAACUGAUGCAGCACUCCGUCACUCUCCUUCUUGGUAAAAUAGCACUUACACAGCCUGGAGGUAUGUUCGGUCAUUAUCCUUUUGAAAAACAAAUUAUAGUCCCAUAAGCCCAAACCAGAUGGGAUGGCGUAUCGCUGCAGAAUGCUGUGGUAGCCAUGCCGGUUAAGAGUGCCUUGAAUUCUAAAUAAAUCACAGACAGUGUCACCA